UUUCAGUAUAUGUUGAUUACUAGGUCUUCAAAAAUAAGAGGCUGCCUGGGUCUUUAAAAAAAAAAGUGACUUUGAUACUAUGACAUAUGAUUCUGGCCUGCUAAACAGGUUUCCUCCUAAUUUCUGUGGAAAACAAUAAAUGACUAUACGACAGGGAGAGGGCAGUACUAUUUAUACUAGUGAUUUUAUAGUUCUGUUUUUUGUCUUUUCUAGGUGAGGAGCUAAUCUGUGAAAGGAUGAACCUAAGAAUCAUAACCAUUUUAGCU
rnacentral:lncRNA from 1 species